CAGAGGAACAGGGAUGAGGAGUCUCUGUGAGUGUGGCAGGAUCCACUUUUGACUUUCUGAGGAACCUGCAUACGAUUUCCACAGUGGUUGCAGUACUCCCAUCUCCAGUGAGUUUCUUGUCAACCAUCUUCUUGCAAGCAUUUGUUGUUAUAUGUUUUCUCCAUCAGAGCCUUUCUGGCCAGGGAGAGAUGAAAUAUCAAAUUAGUUUUAAUUUGUAUGGUUCUGAUGUCUGAGAAUGUUGAAUCUUUAAAUUUUUACUGUCUUUUGUUUCUUAUCUAUAAAAAUAUCUGCUCACCUUGCUCUUUCAUUAAUGGGUGGUUUCCUGUUGGAGUAUCUAAUUUUGCAAAUGAGGGGAGAGUUGGGUGUAUAUAUGAGAUGUCAGGAAGAUAAAGUGGAACAUACUAAAAACAGAGCUACCACGUGGCCCUGCUAUACUACUUCAGGACAUAGACACAAAGACAAAGGGACUCUUCUCAUGAAGAGUAGGCAGCAAAGUUUAUAUUAGUCACGUUGUGACAUUAUCGACUUUUCAUGGUCUUGAAUAGAGAUUAAUUUUGAUUCUUUGACCAGUAGGCUAUGACUUAAGAGCCUUAUAAAGCUCUGUAUCAAGAAGUCAAAAUCUGUCUGCCUUCAUCUUUAUUUCUGGGAGCCAAAUUAUCUUGUGUGUGCCCAAGUAUUUUUGCAAGAAAGGCCACUUUAAAGUUGAGAGAUUCACUUUUCUUACUUUAGAUUACUAUGGCUAGAGUAAAACAAUCCCUGUAGGAUCUGGUAAACAGCUGGCUAAUUUGACCCAACCAUUGUCCCAUUGUCCUUUCUGGUAUAUUGAACAUACCAUUGUUUCAUUGUGGACUCAGUUUAUUUAAUUGUUUGUAUUUGUUGUCUUGGGGUUUUGGCUCAUUUCCCCCUUUAUUCUACUUUAUUUAAGUAGUCAAAGAAUUUUUUCAUUGAUAUUUGAUAUUUUUAUCUAGGACUUCUUGCUCCAGUAGUUCUCCCACUGCUCCUGCAGGAAGUGACUCACCACAGUCCAGUUCUCUAUCUUCAUCAAAAAUACUUCACAUUCUCAAGCGAGGACAUGUUUUGAGCAACAUAGGUUCAGCUCUAAAGAGCAACUUAUUGCCUUUCUUUAUCAUGGACUUGUGAAUGUGUUUUGUCACAACACUCUGAAAGAAUACUCUGAUGAAUUUUAAAUAGAGCAGGAACACAGGAAUAAUGAUUAAUUGUGUAUCUGAAGUCGAAAACCUUUCUAAAUAUUCAGGUCACAUUUUCAAAUAUGUUUUUCUUCCUAUUAUCAAAUUAUAUGAUAUUUGAUUAGCCCCAGGCCCAACCUCAGCUUAGAGAGGGGUUCCUGAGAGAGAAGAUGUUUGGGAGAGGUGAAGUAAAUGACUAAAUGUCACAGCAUGGGUCCAAACUGAUGGCCUAUGAUCUGCUUGAGACAGCUUUCCAAAUUGCACACUCUUUGUGUGGGUGUUCUACUUGAAACAUCUUUCUCUUGCUAUUCUAAAAACUCUCUUGGCAGUGCAUUUCUUGAAGAUCAAAAGCCCAGUCAAAUGAGUCAUUACCCUUUUGAUUAUACUAUGAAAGAACAACCCACAGCCCCUUGGUUCUUAGAAAGAGAAAGCAAACAAAAACACAGACAAUAAGAUAGCUGGGUGGGACCCCACCUGGAAAUUACCAUUCCUACCUUACUGGAGACUACCUGUCCCAGGCUGACCUUGAACUGAGGAAUCUGCCCGCCUUUCUAGCAUAAACAACAACAACAAGAGCAGCAGCAGCAAAAACAAAACAGUUGAGUGGGAUCUUGCCCUGUGAUCACCCCUUCCUAAAUUUCUAUGUCCUUCCUUAGUAUAUUUUUAACAAGCUGGCUUACAAUGUAGCUGCCUUUGUUCCUUUAGAUCUGUUAAGCUCUUUAUACGAAUCAUGUUGCAUUCUUGCAUUUUGUAUAAUUGAGAAAUAUAUUUGUUAACUCGUGUUUUCAGAGUUCUUUCUUACAGCCUUAGGGGUGUCCUGAAGGUUACAGCAUUCUACCACUUUGCAGAUACAUUAGACACACCCUCAGCUCCCAGACUAGUUCUGUCUUUGAUUAUCAUGGUGCCAUUAACCUUGGCACAGUGAUAUUCCUUGAAGAAUCAUGAAAAUGUGUACAUUAUUAUACAAAUAAUCUUUAAGCCCACAGUGACCAUCAAUAUCUAUGAAGACCCAUGUCCUGCUGACUCUGUUCUAGAGACAGGAACCACAUCAUUCUAUUCUUUAUAUCCAAGCAGGCAUGAUUGAGUUACACAAACAAAAAGGAUGGAAAACAAACCCAAACAAACAGUUUUCUAAAUCAUACUCUAGAUUCCAGGUAGAAACACAGAUUUUAUGGCUCUCAUCUCUCCUUGCAACUAAGAUUUCUCUCACAUCCUGUUUGCCUUUCCUCUGUGUUUGCUUGCUCCUUCAUCAAAUUUGAAAUACCUACCUUGUGGUAAACGAAUAGCUUGCCUCAUUUCUUCUGAGAUUCUGUUUAGCUCAACUGCAAUCUGUCUUAGUGUGUUUUCUUUAAAGUUGGGUCUGACUUAUAAUGAGUUUUAAUCUACCAGGCUGAAUAUUUUACGUUUUUCUCUCCCAUCCUGGGUUAAAUCUGAGAACUGAGUGGAAGACCACAGAAAACCCCACUGUAAUUAAGAGGGAAAACAGCACAUAGACUUGACUUUCACAUCUUUCCAUCAAGGCAGUAAUGAUGUUGCCAACCCUUAGGUGGGCAUGUGUUGCCCUAAAAGGUUUCCAGUAAUGAAAUUAAUAUCUCAAAGCUAAGGAGAUGUUCUAGAGUUUAAUAAUAGUAUUGUCAAUUAUUCUUCAAGUCUCAGCCCUACAAAAUGAGUGGGAGGCAACCUGGUAAGACAAAGAAAGUCUCCCUGCCUAGUUAUGAAGACAUUUUUAAAUCAAUGAUUGAACCGGAUUUUCAGAGCGGUAAAUAUCUAGUGUGUUUCUCUGCUUUUUACAUUAAUGUAACAAUUUGGCAGUCAUAAAGCAAUCUUGGCCAUGUAUCUGAAAGCAUAAAACCCAAACACUUGUAGCUGCCAGGUGUGUAAUUUUCUGCUGUUCACACUGAGGUGUAUAAACUGGGAAGAUAGUCUAUUUUGUGUAACUCCAGCCAGCCACAUCAGCUAAGGUGGAAUUUUUAUGUGACCUAUUCCUAUUUAUAGACUCCCAUCAGCUUCCUACUUUUAUAUGUACUAUAAGGAACCAAAAUACCCAUAAUCUGGCAAGAGAAAAAACACCAGAACCUUACCUGGAGAAUGAAUGAGUCUCCUCAUAAAUUUUAUAGAUUAAAAAAUGAUUCAUUUGAUAAAAGUUGUAAUAAUUUUUAAAUGUAAUCCUUUAUGCGGCAAUUAAAGUAUUGUGUUGAUUUGCAAUCAAUUUGGUAUAUUUAGAAAUACAUCACGAGCUAAAGAGACCAUACCAUCAAGUACUGUGUGCCAAGCUACAGCAGCACUCUCUGUCCUCUCUGAAGAGCAGAGUUGGGUUCUCAUGCUUUGUGAUUCACACACUGAUAAAAGUCAGUGGACAAAAAUGUGGACCUGCUCCCUCAAUUGCAAGUUACAUAUAUGCUACCAUGUCAGCUGCCUCUUAUAAGAUUGUAUAAUGCAUCAUCACAGAAAAAAUUCAUAAUGCCUGUGAAAGUUGAUCCAUAAAAGCAUUGCAAUGGAGUCUCAAGGGAGGAGGAGAAAUUGUGCUCAACUUCAACAAGACCCAUAUCAACAAAUGCUUCGUAGGUAGAAGUAGCAAUGGGUUGGAAAGUUGCUAGGGCAAAUAGCAGGGGUAAAGGAAAUCUCUGAUAGGCAUACUCCACUCAGUUGUGCUGAGAAGACAAAGUUAGAAGUGGAUGAUAAAACUCAGACACAGAAGAUGGACAGAAACAAAGAAAGAUGAGCUCUGGUCCACUGACCUUAAUUCUACAAGGAAACUGACAGUGAAACAAAGUUUAGGCUAGGCCAGUAGCAGGCUUAACCCUAAUCAAAGCUGGAUCAAAACCAAUAUCUAUCAGAUAUCAUAAACUUAGUGACAUAUAUGAUUAAGCUGAGGGUCUUCAGAAUAGCCUGUAUUUAGUAACUGAUGGGGUUAAAAUCAAUGUCCAAAUCCCUUUCUUUGCUCCUUGGUUUUGAUCUGAUUUUGGGCUAUACAGAAAGAAAAAUACCUCCACAUUCCUUAAGGAUGAUGGCGGUAUCUGUAACAGCUAAAGGGCAUAAAAGAUAACAGUUCCUAAAGAAAGACAUCAUUUGAGUAAAUGUCUGAAACAUCUAACAAUUAUUCUCUGAGUUUACAUGUCUUGAAGGAGAAAAGUGAGCAAACCAGAUCUUGGCUGUUGUUCCCGUACCAACUCUACUGGAAGUUUGAGUGGACCACAGUUUACCAACAUUUUCAAAGCCCCUAGUUUCUGAAGAAGUUCUUGUCUACCACUCAACCGUGUUGCUGACUACCCUGAUACAUCUGUCUGACAGAGCCUGGAACCACAUCUGUUCAAUUUUGUACUUUGAGCCAUUCAUCCACUUUCUAAUCAAUAAAGUUGAAGGAAUUGGUACAGGUCUGACAGAUGAACUAACUUGGAACCCAGAGUCUGCUCAUAUCUGGUUUUGCCCUUGGCUCUGGAAACGCUGUCACUGUCACCAUCUGGGCAACAAUCUCUUCCAUGGGACAGGGUUGCUUCAAGACUGCUGCUCUGGAGGCUGCUGUCAAUCAUGACCCUUGCCCUCAUCCUAGGAAGGAUCUGCAAGCAAGGCUUGUGUUGCUUGAGGAAAGGUAAGGUGCCAUAACAUAAAGAUAUUCAUCAAUCGGUCUGGCCCUUUGUCAAACCCAGAGGUCUAGCAAAAAAGGGAGACUAAAGAGGAUGCACUAAGGAUGCAAAAUAGUACCACAUGGGGACAAAACAAACUUCUUUUUUAUCCUGUCCUUUUCUUUAUCCUGUUUCAUAUGAAAAAAAUUACCAAAAUAAAAUUAAUAUAUUCAUUUUCUUUGUUCUUCACUCUUUUUCUGUAAAUCCACUGAAAGAGGAAGUUUCUGGGUUCUUUUCUAUAUACGGCUGAGAGAAAUUUAAAAAUUCACCACUAAUUAAAUUUGCUUUUCUCUUGAAAUAAAACUCACAAAAUUAAGACAAAAGUAUUCUAUAAUCAUGUCUAAAAGAAAGAUGCAGAGAAUAAUUAGGACAUUACCUGAGGGAUUAUAAAAAAUUAAGAUAACAAAGUCUCAAAACAGACGAAAUGUUUUUUUUCUCUUCAUGUUAUCAACCAACGAAUCAUGGUGGAUGCAUGAUUAUCUUCUGAUCUAUAUAGCACUGCUCUCUGACCUGACAGUCUCUGCUAUAGUUCUACCUUUUGUAACUGCACUGAAUCAAUCAGCAAGAGUUACUGGAUAGUGGUGCUCAUGAGGCUCCAAGUUCUUAGCAAGGAACUUAAAUGCAUCCCAUGUAUUUUACUCACAUAGUUGAGUUAUAUGGUCAUUAAAGAAAGAAAUGUCUAGAAAAGACAACAUUUAUGUGGCUUUAUGGGAACUUAGUCAAAGCGGUUUGUUGUAUGUAAAAGAAGCACUGAUGGUACAUGUUAUCAAAUAAGCACCUUCAUGUAGAUUUUUGAACAGAUUGAACCUACAAUGAAAUUCCAUUUCUUUGUUAUUUGAUUAAUAGAUAGAACAUAUACCUGUGUCCACCCCCCACCAGAAUCAUAAGGGGACAAAUGGAAUGAAAUUAUAUUUCUAGAAUCCUUCAACAUCUUUGAGAAAAAGAUAUUAACUACUAUACUCUAGAGAAGGUAAAGUGAAGGCCCUGAAAUCUUGACUUUAAUUAAGGAAACUUUAGUCCAUUAGGAUUGGCAGUCGUGGUUGGUGCUAAGUCAUGUUGUGUAGGUAUUUUACCUUAUUGCACAGACUUUAUGCAUAUAGGUACAAAUUCUUUACUUGCUUCACACACCAAGACAUUUAGAACCACAUGGCUCCUGAGAUGUGUUUAGUGUUUAUAUCAUCAGAGAGAUAACUAACUCAAAAGUCUACUUAUAUGUUUAUGAGUUGUUGAUGUAUGCAAUGUGGUUUCAAGAAGGAUGACAUUGGGAAAUAUGAGAGAUUGAUGUUAAUGUAAUCUUUGACAAGAAAUCAUGAAGAAAAUCACUGCAUCGUACACAAGUUCCAUAUGUCCAGCUUGAUACUGAAAACAGCCAUAAAAUAGGCACCUUCUUUGAUGUACACUUCAAAGUACCCCAGCCUCACCAUUACCACUGCCAAUAUACAAACACACACACACACACACACGCACGCACACACGCAUGCAUGCACGCACGCACACACAUGCACACAUACAGAACAGCACUGAUAUUGGCCUGUUAGUGACAGUGUGCCACCUAGUGUUUGUAGAUAUUGUCAAUCACAGACAAAUGUAUGUUGUCAGCCUUAGUUAAUAAGAAAUUUACAAAUGGACAUGAGUUAGUUCUUCAUCCUGUGGUACCAUGUCA